CCUACGGGUGGCAGCAGUCGAGAAUCAUUCACAAUGGGGGAAACCCUGAUGGUGCGACGCCGCGUGGGGGAAUGAAGGUCUUCGGAUUGUAAACCCCUGUCAUGUGGGAGCAAAGUAAAAAGAUAGUACCACAAGAGGAAGAGACGGCUAAAUCGGUGCCAGCAGCCGCGGUAAUACAGAGGGCUCCAGCGUUGUUCGGAAUCACUGGGCGUAAAGCGUGUGUAGGUUGUUACGUAAGUCGUGUGUGAAAGGCGCGGGCUCAACCCGCGGACGGCACAUGAGACUGCGAGACUAGAGUGAGGGAGGGGGAACCGGAAUUCUCGGUGUAGCAGUGAAAUGCGUAGAUAUCGAGAAGAACACUCGUGGCGAAGGCAGGUUCCUGGACAUUAACUGACGCUGAGGCACGAAGGCGAGGGGAGCGAACGGGAUUAGAUACCCCAGUAGUC
rnacentral:rRNA from 1 species